AUAUAUAUCAACCCCUCACUCUUGAGUGGCUUGGAUGUGGGGGUUUGCUGGCCUCUUUAAAAAAGGUUCAGCUCUCCUGAAAUGCAUUAGCAGAACAACCUGUUCAUUCAUUGGUGUGAUAACUAUCUACGCUGUUGAGUGUGAGGCAGUUCAGCUUUCUAACGGUCCUCGGACAACUUAUCAUUUU
rnacentral:misc_RNA from 1 species